ACCCUUAGAUGUCCGGGGCUGCACGCGCGCUACACUGUAGAAAGCAGCGUGCUUUAAAACCUUUCCUGAAAAGGAUGGGUAACCCCAGCAAAAUUCUGCGUGCUUGGGAUAGAGAUUUGCAAUUUUCUCUCUUGAACGAGGAAUUCCCAGUAAGUGCGAGUCAUCAGCUCGCGUUGAUUACGUCCCUGCCCUUUGUACACACCGCCCGUCGCUACUACCGAUUGGGAAAAUUUUAGAGAGUCCUGGACUGAUGAUUGUUCGGCUUCACGGCCUUACUUUCGUCGGGAAAGAAUUCGAUAAUAUUUUUCUAGAGGAAGUAAAAGUCGUAACA
rnacentral:rRNA from 1 species